GGGCGUUUGGUUUAGGGGUAUAAUGUUCGCUUCGCACUACAGCUGCUUGCGAAAGGUCGCCGGUUCGAUUCCGGCAUCGUCCA